ACAUACUAAUCAUUAAAGUAUUUGCAUUUCCCCAUGUCUUACUUGUUUGGUGAUAUUUCAGUCGCGGAAGCAUUAAAGUGGACUUCCUUGUGCGUUUCAACUCACCCACACCCAUUGCCAGCGGUGCCGUCCUGAAUGUGCUGUCAGGAAUGACAGACAUCGGUGGUCUGCGGACAGAUGGCACUGCCACCAGCAUCACAGAGGUGAACGUGGAUGGAGAAGUGAACAAUCUAGGUGUAUGGUUCCAGAACCCUGUCUACAUCUUAGUCAUCUGUGUUGGCGCUGUAGCCAUCUUUAUAGCUACUGUGUUACUGGUGAUCCGCUUCACUUCAAAGGUAACGUAGCUGUCACAAAAUCUAGAGGUAGAU